GAUGAACGCUGGCGGCGUGCCUAAUACAUGCAAGUCGAGCGAACAGACGAGGAGCUUGCUCCUCUGACGUUAGCGGCGGACGGGUGAGUAACACGUGGAUAACCUACCUAUAAGACUGGGAUAACUUCGGGAAACCGGAGCUAAUACCGGAUAAUAUAUUGAACCGCAUGGUUCAAUAGUGAAAGACGGUUUUGCUGUCACUUAUAGAUGGAUCCGCGCCGCAUUAGCUAGUUGGUAAGGUAACGGCUUACCAAGGCAACGAUGCGUAGCCGACCUGAGAGGGUGAUAGGCCACACUGGAACUGAGACACGGUCCAGAAUCCUACGGGAGGCAGCAGUAGGGAAUCUUCCGCAAUGGGCGAAAGCCUGACGGAGCAACGCCGCGUGAGUGAUGAAGGUCUUCGGAUCGUAAAACUCUGUUAUUAGGGAAGAACAAAUGUGUAAGUAACUAUGCACGUCUUGACGGUACCUAAUCAGAAAGCCACGGCUAACUACGUG
rnacentral:rRNA from 1 species